GUAGACGAAGUUUUGCUAUAGACCGUCUCUUUUUCAGACUUCCCGCUCCAGCUUCUCACUCUUCUCACUACUCUGCGAAUCACUCUGCUCCACUCUGGUCAAAUAUUCUCGGCGCCAUCGCGACAACCGUUCAUGCUGCAAAUCUCCUUCCCGUCGUCAUGGAGACAGUCGCCUCUUCCCGUCAAAGUCGCUCACCGGCGUCUCCGUCUCUAUUGAACUACAAUGAAGGGAAAAAGAGAAGGAAGUGUGGAGUCAAGAUUUAGGAGAAGAAUUCAUGGGAGAAAAAUGAGGGAAAGACAACAUUUACAUUGGUUGCUUUAGAUUUUCAUUGAAAGCUUUGAAUUUUGAACAAUAUAUUCUUUUAAACAUUCUCCUUUUGCGUAGCUUUCUUACUUUCAAUAUUGGGUGUUUCUUGACAUGACAGUAUAAGGGUGAUGUAGUGGAUGGAUUUUGUUCCUACAUGUAGUCACCAUUUUGGUGUGGAGGUAUUCAUAUAAAACUUAGUUACUAUCUCGGAUGAAGGAAAAGCCUCUGUUCAGGGUAGUAGGUGCUUUUGAAGGUAAAUACUUAGUGUC